rnacentral:rRNA from 1 species
GACGAACGCUGGCGGCGUGCCUAAUACAUGCAAGUAGAACGCACAGUUUAUACCGUAGCUUGCUACACCAUAGACUGUGAGUUGCGAACGGGUGAGUAACGCGUAGGUAACCUGCCUGGUAGCGGGGGAUAACUAUUGGAAACGAUAGCUAAUACCGCAUAAUAUUAAUUAUUGCAUGAUAAUUAAUUGAAAGGUGCAAUUGCACCACUACCAGAUGGACCUGCGCUGUAUUAGCUAGUAGGUGAGGUAACGGCUCACCUAGGCGACGAUACAUAGCCGACCUGAGAGGGUGAUCGGCCACACUGGGACUGAGACACGGCCCAGACUCCUACGGGAGGCAGCAGUAGGGAAUCUUCGGCAAUGGACGAAAGUCUGACCGAGCAACGCCGCGUGAGUGAAGAAGGUUUUCGGAUCGUAAAGCUCUGUUGUAAGAGAAGAACGGGUGUGAGAGUGGAAAGUUCACACUGUGACGGUAUCUGACCAGAAAGGGACGGCUAACUACGUG